rnacentral:tRNA from 1 species
GGGCAAAUUCCAGAGUGGCCAAAUGGGACUGACUGUAACUCAGUUGUCUUUCGACUUCGGAGGUUCGAAUCCUCCUUUGCCCACCA